UGGGGAAUUUUGGACAAUGGGCGAAAGCCUGAUCCAGCAAUGCCGCGUGUGUGAAGAAGGCCUUCGGGUUGUAAAGCACUUUUGUCCGGAAAGAAAUGGCUCUGGUUAAUACCUGGGGUCGAUGACGGUACCGGAAGAAUAAGGACCGGCUAACUACGUGCCAGCAGCCGCGGUAAUACGUAGGGUCCAAGCGUUAAUCGGAAUUACUGGGCGUAAAGCGUGCGCAGGCGGUUGUGCAAGACCGAUGUGAAAUCCCCGAGCUUAACUUGGGAAUUGCACUGGUGACUGCACGGCUAGAGUGUGUCAGAGGGGGGUAGAAUUCCACGUGUAGCAGUGAAAUGCGUAGAGAUGUGGAGGAAUACCGAUGGCGAAGGCAGCCCCCUGGGAUAACACUGACGCUCAUGCACGAAAGCGUGGGGAGCAAACAGG
rnacentral:rRNA from 1 species